rnacentral:rRNA from 1 species
GCUAAUCCCACUAAAGAGUCCUUAUCAAUAGUGGGGUUUGGCACCUCGAUGUUGGCUUAGGAUAUCUGUACGACGCAAAAGUCGUAAAUAGACGGUUUGUUCAACCAAUAAAAUCCUACAUGAGCUGAGUUCAGACCGGCGCAAGCCAGGUUAGUUUCUAUCCUCGAUAACAAAAUCUAUUUAUAGUACGAAAGGACCUAAAUAUGAAUAAUAAUUAUAAAUAAUGAAUGAAUAUAAUUAAUAUUAAGUAAUUAAUAAAAUAUACUAUU